UACGUAGGGUGCGAGCGUUUAAUCGGAAUUACUGGGCGUAAAGCGUGCGCAGGCGGUGAUGUAAGACCGAUGUGAAAUCCCCGGGCUUAACCUGGGAACUGCAUUGGUGACUGCACGGCUAGAGUGUGUCAGAGGGGGGUAGAAUUCCACGUGUAGCAGUGAAAUGCGUAGAGAUGUGGAGGAAUACCGAUGGCGAAGGCAGCCCCCCUGGGAUAACACUGACGCUCAUGCACGAAAGCGUGGGGAGCAAACAGG
rnacentral:rRNA from 1 species